CGUAGGUAACCUGCCUGGUAGCGGGGGAUAACUAUUGGAAACGAUAGCUAAUACCGCAUAACAUUGACUAUUGCAUGAUAGUCAAUUGAAAGGUGCAAAUGCACCACUACCAGAUGGACCUGCGUUGUAUUAGCUAGUUGGUGGGGUAACGGCUCACCAAGGUGACGAUACAUAGCCGACCUGAGAGGGUGAUCGGCCACACUGGGACUGAGACACGGCCCAG
rnacentral:rRNA from 1 species